CAUUCAGGCGCUUUCCUGACUGGCUGUCGCUUGAUUCGCAUGCGCUUUCUCAUACCUCUCAUUUCCUCAUCCAUUACCUCUGGUCACUAUCGCAUCAUUUCACGCCUCUUAAGCGCCCACUUAACCAAACCCCAACGCUCAACCCUACCUCCCUUUUUCAAUUGCCAACCGCCAUCGAUGGCCGCAUCCGAGGAAUCUCUCCGGAAAGCUCUGGCCGAAAAGCAGUCAGCUGUCGAAGCGCAUGGGAACGCCGUCAGAGCUCUCAAAGCUGCCAAGGCCUCCAAGCCGGAAAUCGACGCUGCAAUCGAAGCCUUGAACAGCUUGAAGUUGGAGAAAUCGUCGAUCGAGAAGCAGCUCCAGGCUGCUGUUAGUGGUAGCGAUGGUGAUGGCGCCCUUAGCAGGGAAGCCUUCCGUCAAGCUGCUGUGAAUACUUUGGAACGGCGUUUGUUUUACAUCCCGUCUUUCAAGAUUUAUCGGGGCGUUGCUGGGCUUUAUGACUAUGGGCCGCCCGGUUGCGCCGUUAAAUCCAACGUUCUUGCUUUCUGGCGUCAGCAUUUUGUCCUCGAAGAGAACAUGUUGGAGGUUGACUGUCCCUGUGUGACACCUGAGGUUGUCCUUAAGGCAUCUGGUCAUGUGGAUAAAUUUACUGACCUUAUGGUUAAGGAUGAGAAAACUGGAACCUGCUAUCGAGCUGAUCACUUGCUGAAGGAUUUCUGCAACGAAAUGCUUCAAAAAGACCUCACCAUAAGUGCAGAGAAGGCUGCUGAGCUUAAGCAUGUACUUGCUACAUUGGAUGAUCUAUCAGCUGAAGCACUAGGUGCAAAGAUCAAAGAGUAUGGUAUUACUGCUUCAGACACAAAGAAUCCUCUCUCCGAUCCUUAUCCAUUCAACUUAAUGUUCCAAACAUCAAUUGGUCCAUCUGGUUUGAGCCCUGGGUAUAUGCGUCCUGAAACUGCACAAGGAAUAUUUGUCAAUUUUAAAGACUUGUACUAUUACAAUGGGAACAAGCUUCCCUUUGCUGCUGCGCAAAUUGGUCAGGCUUUCCGCAAUGAGAUAUCCCCCCGCCAAGGGCUUUUGAGGGUUCGAGAAUUCACCCUAGCUGAAAUUGAGCACUUUGUUGAUCCUGAAGACAAAUCUCAUCCAAAAUACUCUGAAGUUGUUGACUUGGAGUUCCUGAUGUUCCCAAGAGAAGAGCAAAUGUGUGGUCAAUCCGCAAAGAAAAUCCGUCUUGGUGAUGCUGUUUCAAAGGGAACUGUCAACAAUGAAACCCUUGGCUACUUUAUUGGCAGAGUUUAUCUCUUCCUAACUCGUCUUGGUAUAGACAAAGACCGCUUACGGUUCAGGCAGCAUCUUGCAAAUGAAAUGGCCCAUUAUGCUGCAGAUUGUUGGGAUGCUGAGAUUGAAUGUUCGUAUGGUUGGAUUGAAUGUGUUGGUAUUGCAGACAGAUCUGCUUAUGACUUGCGCGCUCACUCGGAUAAAAGUGGUGUACCGCUUGUGGCUGCUGAGAAGUUUUCAGAACCAAGAGAAGUGGAGAAACUGGUCAUAGCUCCUGUGAAGAAAGAACUGGGUCUGGCAUUCAAGGGAAGCCAAAAGAAUGUUGUUGAAGCUUUGGAGGCAAUGAAUGAAAAAGAAGCUCUGGAAAUGAAAGCUGCUUUGGAAUCUAAAGGGGAGGUGGAAUUCUAUGUCUGCAGUCUUGGGAAAAAUGUGCCCAUUAAAAAGAACAUGGUCUCAAUUUCAAAGGAGAAAAAGAAAGAACAUCAGAGAGUUUUUACACCAUCUGUAAUUGAACCAUCCUUCGGAAUUGGGCGGAUAAUUUAUUGCCUGUUUGAGCACUCUUUCUACACAAGGCCAAGUAAAGCUGGGGAUGAGCAGUUGAAUGUUUUCCGGUUUCCUCCCCUUGUGGCACCUAUUAAAUGUACCGUAUUUCCACUGGUUCAAAAUCAACAAUAUGAGGAUGUUGCGAAAGUGAUUUCAAAAUCAUUGACGACUGCUGGAAUCUCACAUAAGAUAGACAUUACAGGUACCUCAAUAGGGAAAAGGUAUGCUAGAACAGAUGAACUUGGUGUGCCAUUUGCCAUAACUGUUGAUUCAACAAAGGAUGUGACAAUCCGUGAGAGAGACAGCAAGCUUCAAGUCCGUGUCAGUGUGGAAGAGGCAGCCUUGGUGGUGAAGUCUGUGACUGAUGGACUGAGAACAUGGGAGGAUGUGUGGGAGAAAUAUCCCCAUCACACUUCUGGCUCAGCAGAUGAUUGAGCCAGUAGAAAUUGGAAGGACACAUUUGUUGACGUAAUAACAAAAAGUAUCCCCCAGUUGGAGUUUCUUAAAGUCCUCUUAAUGAUUUGGAUGGAGAUUACGGUACUGUGUUGUAGGAUUUUCCGUUUGGACAGAUGUCUAUUGGUGGUUGACUUGAGGAAAUGCGUUUGGGUAUGGAAGGUCUGAGCAUGGCCUGUUGGAUGGAUCAUGAAACCGAUUGGGUCUUGCAAGGCAGGCAUGUCGGGGUUAUCCGAAUAAAAUUUGAAAAUCGAAAUAAGGAGGUAUAACAUGAGUUUGUGAUUGAAUUUGAAUACGUAUAGAAUAGAACAAGAUCCAAGUCUCUAGCGUGAGGGAAUCGAAAUCAAGUUCGCAAAUAAUCUAAGCAUUAAUCUUUUGUUUUUGUCAUAGAAACGAAGUUAAAAAUUCAUUUUAUCAAAUUUUAAUUAUUAUAUUGAUUCGAUUGAAGAA